UCACGUACAGGGCAAACCAUCUGAAAGGAUGGGACGCAAAGCCUCCGGCCUAAACCAGUUUGGUAGGUAGCGGGGUUACCGAU
rnacentral:ncRNA from 2 species